UCGCCAGACUCCUACGGGAGGCAGCAGUGGGGAAUAUUGGACAAUGGGGGGAACCCUGAUCCAGCGACGCCGCGUGAGUGAAGAAGUAUUUCGGUAUGUAAAGCUCUAUCAGCAGGGAAGAAAGAAAUGACGGUACCUGACUAAGAAGCCCCGGCUAACUACGUGCCAGCAGCCGCGGUAAUACGUAGGGGGCAAGCGUUAUCCGGAUUUACUGGGUGUAAAGGGAGCGUAGACGGUUAUGUAAGUCUGGAGUGAAAGCCCGGGGCCCAACCCCGGGACUGCUUUGGAAACUGUGUAACUGGAGUACAGGAGGGGCAGGCGGAAUUCCUGGUGUAGCGGUGAAAUGCGUAGAUAUCAGGAGGAACACCGGCGGCGAAGGCGGCCUGCUGGACUGAAACUGACGUUGAGGCUCGAAAGCGUGGGAAGCAAACAGGAUUAGAUACCCUGGUA
rnacentral:rRNA from 1 species